rnacentral:rRNA from 1 species
GAUGAACGCUAGCGGCAGGCCUAACACAUGCAAGUCGAGGGAGAAGCCCUUUCGGGGGCAGAAACCGGCGCACGGGUGCGUAACGCGUAUGCAACCUACCUUUCACAGGGGGAUAGCCCGAAGAAAUUUGGAUUAAUACCCCAUAAUAUUAUUGGAUGGCAUCAUUUGAUAAUUAAAACUGCGGUGGUGAAAGAUGGGCAUGCGUCCUAUUAGCUAGUUGGAGUGGUAACGGCACCCCAAGGCUACGAUAGGUAGGGGUCCUGAGAGGGAGAUCCCCCACACUGGUACUGAGACAGGGACCAGACUCCUACGGGAGGCAGCAGUGAGGAAUAUUGGUCAAUGGUCGGAAGACUGAACCAGCCAUGCCGCGUGCAGGAAGAAUGCCUUAUGGGUUGUAAACUGCUUUUAUAUGGGAAGAAUAAGGCGUACGUGUACGUUGAUGACGGUACCAUAUGAAUAAGCAUCGGCUAACUCCGUGCCAGCAGCCGCGGUAAUACGGAGGAUGCGAGCGUUAUUCGGAAUCAUUGGGUUUAAAGGGUCUGUAGGCGGGCUAUUAAGUCAGGGGUGAAAGGUUUCAGCUUAACUGAGAAAUUGCCUUUGAUACUGGUAGUCUUGAAUAUCUGUGAAGUUCUUGGAAUGUGUAGUGUAGCGGUGAAAUGCUUAGAUAUUACACAGAACACCGAUUGCGAAGGCAGGGGACUAACAGACAAUUGACGCUGAGAGACGAAAGCGUGGGGAGCGAACAGG